GUGCUCACUUUGGCAGAACAUAUACUAAAAUUGGAACAAUAUAUAGAUUAGCAUGUCCUCCGUGCAAUGAUGACAUGCAAAUUCCUGAAGUGUUCCAUAAAAAA
ensembl:snRNA U6 U6 spliceosomal RNA